AACUACUGCUUCUCUGAUUGGCACUGGUAUCACAACAGCCUUGAUUAAUUCAAGAAAAGCAUUUGACCAGACCAGUGAAGGAGAGAAUCUCCCUAUUCUCUCAACUAGCGUUGCUUAUGGUGUAUAUAUGGCAGUUUCAAGUAACCUUAGGUACCAGGUACUGGCUGGUGUUAUUGAGCAGAGGAUGUUGGAACCUUUGCUGCAUAAGCACAAACUGGUGCUGAGUGCCAUAUGCUUUGCAGUCCGUACUGGAAAUACAUUUUUGGGAUCUUUGCUGUGGGUUGACUACGCUCGCUGGGUAGGCAUCCAGAAGAUUCAUGACUAGAAAAGCAACCAUUCUUGAUGGUAGCUUUGACUUGGG
rnacentral:misc_RNA from 1 species